CCUACGGGAGACAGCAGUGAGGAAUAUUGGUCAAUGGUCGGGAGACUGAACCAGCCAAGCCGCGUGAGGGAGGAAGGUACAGAGUAUCGUAAACCUCUUUUGUCAGGGAACAAAGGCGGGGACGUGUCCCCGGAUUAGUGUACCUGAAGAAAAAGCAUCGGCUAACUCCGUGCCAGCAGCCGCGGUAAUACGGAGGAUGCGAGCGUUCUCCGGAUGUAUUGGGUUUAAAGGGUUCGCAGGCGGUCUGUUAAGUCAGCGGUCACAUCCCGGGGCUCAACCCCGGCCCGCCGUUGAAACUGGCAGUCUCGAGUUGGAGAGAAGUAUGCGGAAUGCGCGGUGUAGCGGUGAAAUGCAUAGAUAUCGCGCAGAACUCCGAUUGCGAAGGCAGCAUGCCGGCUCCACACUGACGCUGAGGCACGAAAGCGUGGGUAUCGAACAGGAUUAGAUACCCCUGUAGUC
rnacentral:rRNA from 1 species